rnacentral:rRNA from 1 species
AGACACGGCCCAUAGCUGGUCUGAGAGGAUGAUCAGCCACACUGGGACUGAGACACGGCCCAUACUCCUACGGGAGGCAGCAGUGGGGAAUAUUGGGCAAUGGGCGCAAGCCUGAUCCAGCCAUACCUCGUGUGUGAAGAAGGCCCUAGGGUUGUAAAGCACUUUCAAUUGGGACGAAAAGUUUAAGUUUAAUAAACUUA